rnacentral:rRNA from 1 species
AUUGAACGCUGGCGGCAGGCCUAACACAUGCAAGUCGAACGAGUGGCGGACUGGUGAGUAAUGUCUGGGAAACUGACUGAUGGAGGGGGAUAACUAAUGGAAAAGGUAGCUAAUACCGCAUAACAUCAGAUGUGCCAAGAUGGGAUUAGCUUGUUGGUGGGGUAAAGGCUCAACAGGGCGACGAUCCCUAGCCUGUCUGAGAGGAAUACCAGCCACACUGGAACUGAGACACGGUCCAGACUCCUACGGGAGGCAGCAGUGGGGAAUAUUGCACAAUGGGCGAAAGCCUGAUGCAGCCAUGCCGCGUGUAUGAAGAAGGCCUUCGGGUUGUAAAGUACUUUCAGCGGGGAGGAGUUACACGAAGAAGAAGCACCGGCUAACUCCGUGCCAGCAGCCGCGGUAAUUG